GCACGCUUAGCUCAGCGGUAGAGCACUGCUUUCACACGGCAGGGGUCGCAGGUUCGAACCCUGCAGCGUGCACCA
rnacentral:tRNA from 1 species